UCAAAAAACAGGCAAACGUAAUCUGUGGGG
rnacentral:piRNA from 2 species